rnacentral:sRNA from 1 species
GGCCAGCCUGAACUGCAUAGUGAGACCCUGCCUCAAAAAGACAAAAAUUUUAAAAAAAUUCCUUCUCCACUCCCACUGCUUCACUUGACUAGCCUAAA